rnacentral:tmRNA from 1 species
GGGGGCGUUCUGGUUUCGACGGGCGAUCUGAAGUGAAGGCUGCAUGCCGCGGAUGAUUCGUUGGCCGCGUUAAAAAUCGAAUCAACAACUCUAAAUGCAAACUCUAACGAGCUCGCACUCGCUGCUUAAUUGACAGCGACAUUCCUCUGCUGAAGCCUGGUCAGUGGAGGGGUGACUACUUACAGGCUGGCCAACAGAACGGGCGACCGGUUCCAAGGCGAGAUCAACAGGACGCUGGGCGAGGGAGAUGCUGUGAAUGGCAGCUCCCGAGUCGAGAUUAAAUCAUUCACUGAGCAUGGAGACGCUUUCAUCGAUGAUGGUUCGGACAGGGGUUCAACUCCCCUCGCCUCCACCA